GGAUGUGAGGGCUAUCUGGCUGCGACAUCUGUCACCCCAUUGAUCGCCAGUGUUGAUUCUACUGAUCUGGAUGGCUAGGCGGGUGUCCUCUUCCUCCCUCACCGCUCCUUGUGCGUCCCUCCCGAAGCUGCUCGCUCAGUGGAAGAGGACGACCUUCCCCGAUAGAGGAGGACCGUUCUUCAGUCAAGGGUAUACGAGUAGCUGCGCUCCCCUGCUAGAACCUCCAAACAACCUCUCAAGGAUUCUGGACCCUGCACCCUGAUCAUGCUGGGUGCAGCCCUU
rnacentral:snRNA from 1 species